rnacentral:rRNA from 3 species
UACGUAGGGGGCAAGCGUUGUCCGGAAUCAUUGGGCGUAAAGCGCGUGUAGGCGGUCCGGUAAGUCGGCUGUGAAAGUCCAGGGCUCAACCCUGGGAUGCCGGUCGAUACUGCCGGACUAGAGUUCGGAAGAGGCGAGUGGAAUUCCCGGUGUAGCGGUGAAAUGCGCAGAUAUCGGGAGGAACACCAAUGGCGAAGGCAGCUCGCUGGGACGUUACUGACGCUGAGACGCGAAAGCGUGGGGAGCAAACAGG